GUCUCGUUGGUGUAGUUGGUUAUCACGUGGGUCUCAUAGCGCUUUAUGCUGUGACUGCUUCCUAAGAAGUGGAGAUCCCAAGGCCGCCAGUUCGAGUCUGGCACGGGACA